AAUUCAACGCUGUAUGUAGCUGGCUGACUUCGGGUCAAAUUUAUUUUAAUUUCAUUUGGUCCCCUUCAACCAGCUGUAGCAGUGCUUGUAA
rnacentral:pre_miRNA from 1 species